rnacentral:rRNA from 1 species
UACAGAGGGGGCUAGCGUUGUUCGGAAUUAUUGGGCGUAAAGGGCGCGUAGGCGGCCGGAUAAGUCUGACGUGAAAUCCCUCGGCCUAACCGGGGAACUGCGUUUGAUACUGUCCAGCUCGAGUCCGGGAGAGGGUAGUGGAAUUCCCAGUGUAGCGGUGAAAUGCGUAGAUAUCAGGAGGAACACCGGUGGCGAAGGCGGGUCUCUGGGCAGUAACUGACGCUGAGGAGCGAAAGCGUGGGGAGCGAACAGG